AUGAUGCCCUCGAAGUCUUUGGACUGGUAGGGUUUGUGUCGGUCUCUUCGGAGUCGACCUUAUCUCACACACCGUGAACUGUGGCUUCGGCCAUUUACACAAACUGUUAGUAAUGAAUGUAAUAUCAUAACAAACAUA
rnacentral:misc_RNA from 2 species